rnacentral:rRNA from 1 species
AAUAUUGGACAAUGGGGGCAACCGUGAUCCAUCAACGCAACGUGGGUGAACAAGGCCGGCCAAUUCUACAGCGCUUUCUGUAGCGAAGAAAUGCCUAGUGUUAAUACCCGUGAAUCAUGAAAUUCCCUACAGAAGAAAUUCCCGGUAACUCCUUCCAGCAGCCGCGGUAAUAAGGAAGGAGAGGGCAGUAAUCUGAAGAAUUAGGGGUAAAACGCGGGUAGGCGGCUUUGUAAAUCUGAGCGGAAAGCCCUCAGCUCAACCUGGGAAACACAUUUUGUAAUGUAUCGAUAGGGUAUAGUGGAGGGACGGAGAAAAUCUGGUGUGGAGGGGAAAAGUGUAGAGAUAUGGGAAAACACCGGGGGGAGAGCGACUUCGUGGGGAAUCAGACGAGGAGAGAGGAAGGGUAGGGGAAAAAAGGAUUAGAUUCCCUGGUAGUUCAUACCG